UAGAUAAGUUCCAGAGAAGAUUUAUAUGAUGCUUGGUCCAAAAGAGACUGCAGUAGACUACAGACUUCUCCAUCCUCUUUCCAUUAUCCCACAGGGAGCUGGAUGGAACACGAGCAGGGAAGAGAACACAUAUGCCUAUCUAUGAUUGGUCCUUUGCAAAUGACUGGGCAGCAAGUAAUAGGAAAAUAUGCUGAUUCCAUUGCCUGGCCAUUUGAAUGGUGUCCCUUGAAAGAUAACAGGUACAUGAUGUGUGAGGUGAAAAUGAGAUUGUGCAGAAUGUGUAUUGAUAUGAAAGAAACUGAAAGAACUGGGGAAAGGACAAAAUAACUUACAGUACCUCACUUAAAAAGUGGCACAGCAACACCAUUCCCCAAACAUUGAAGAAGGGUUGAAGAAAGUCUGCAUGUUGAAAUGGUAAUACUAUAGUAAUGUUGCAAGUUCCCUGAUGUAUGAAAAUCACAACAUAGGAGCAAACAAAUAUUGGCUUGAAUUUGUGUGUCCAAACAUACUCGUGAGGUACAAUAAAAUAUCUGAAAAAGUA